rnacentral:rRNA from 1 species
GAUGAACGCUGGCGGCGUGCCUAAUACAUGCAAGUCGAGCGAACGGACGAGAAGCUUGCUUUUCUGAUGUUAGCGGCGGACGGGUGAGUAACACGUGGAUAACCUACCUAUAAGACUGGGAUAACUUCGGGAAACCGGAGCUAAUACCGGAUAAUAUUUUGAACCGCAUGGUUCAAAAGUGAAAGACGGUCUUGCUGUCACUUAUAGAUGGAUCCGCGCUGCAUUAGCUAGUUGGUAAGGUAACGGCUUACCAAGGCAACGAUGCAUAGCCGACCUGAGAGGGUGAUCGGCCACACUGGAACUGAGACACGGUCCAGACUCCUACGGGAGGCAGCAGUAGGGAAUCUUCCGCAAGGGGCGAAAGCCUGACGGAGCAACGCCGCGUGAGUGAUGAAGGUCUUCGGAUCGUAAAACUCUGUUAUUAGGGAAGAACAUAUGUGUAAGUAACUGUGCACAUCUUGACGGUACCGAAUCAGAAAGCCACGGCUAACUACGU